rnacentral:rRNA from 1 species
GACGAACGCUGGCGGCGUGCUUAACACAUGCAAGUCGAACGGAAAGGCCCUGCUUGCAGGGUGCUCGAGUGGCGAACGGGUGAGUAACACGUGGGUGAUCUGCCCCUUAUUUUGGGAUAAGCCUGGGAAACUGGGUCUAAUGCUGGAUAGGACCAUGCUGUAGGUGGUGUGGUGGAAAGAUUAGUUUCGGUAAGGGAUGAGCUCGCGGCCUAUCAGCUUGUUGGUGGGGUAAUGGCCUACCAAGGCGUCGACGGGUAGCCGGCCUGAGAGGGUGGACGGCGACAUUGGGACUGAGAUACGGCGCAGAAUCCUACGGGAGGCAGCAGUGGGGAAUAUUGCACAAUGGGCGCAAGCCGGAUGCAGCGACGCCGCGUGGGGGAUGACGGCCUUCGGGUUGUAAACUCCUUGCAGCCAUGACGAAGCACUUGUGGUGACGGUAGUGGUAGAAGAAGCACCGGCUAACUACGUG